UCGAGGAACUUUUACAAUGCCCGCAAGGGUGAUCGAGUAAACCAGAGUGUUUUCUUUACGAAAACUUUUAUUUGCUGUAAAAAGGCAGAUGAAUAAGGACUGGGCAAGACCGGUGCCAGCCGCCGCGGUAAUCCCGGCGGUCCAAGUCGCAUCCACAAUUAUUGGGUCUAAAACAUCCGUAGCUUGUUUUGUAAGUCUCUUGUGAAAUCCCAAAUCUCAAAUUUGGGGCGUGCAAGAGAUACUGCAAAGCUUUGAGACCGGAAGACGUAAAGAGUACGAAGAAGGUAGUGGUAAAAUAUGUUAAUCUUCUUCGGACUAACAGUGGCGAAGGCGCUUUACGAGUACGGUUCUGACAGUGAGGGAUGAAGGCUAGGGGCGCAAAAGGG
rnacentral:rRNA from 1 species